rnacentral:rRNA from 1 species
AGUCAUAUGCUUGUCUCAAAGAUUAAGCCAUGCAUGUCUGAGUACAGACCGAUCUAAGGUGAAACCGCGAAUGGCUCAUUAAAUCAGUCAUAAUUCCUUGGAUAGUGAUAAAACUUCCUCGGAUAACUGUGGAAAAUCCAGAGCUAAUACGUGCAACUGAGUUCCGACCUUGGCGCGAGCCUCGGGAAGAACGCAUUUAUUAGAUUCAAAACUGACCGACGUACUCCUGCGGGAUGCGUCGAUCGUCAAAUGUUUGAUGACUCCGGAUAACUUAGCCGAGCGCUACGGUCUUUAGUACCGGCGCCGUAUCUUUCAAGUGUCUGCCUUAUCAGCUUUCGAUUGUAGGUUAAACGCCUACAAUGGCUGUAACGGGUAACGGGGAAUCAGGGUUCGAUUCCGGAGAGGGAGCCUGAGAAACGGCUACCACAUCUAAGGAAGGCAGCAGGCACGCAAAUUACCCACUCCCAGCCCGGGGAGGUAGUGACGAAAAAUAACGAUGCGAGACUCUUCCGAGGCCUCGCAAUCGGAAUGAGUUCAUUUUAAAACUUUGGACGAGGAUCCAUUGGAGGGCAAGUCUGGUGCCAGCAGCCGCGGUAAUUCCAGCUCCAAUAGCGUAUAUUAAAGUUGCUGCGGUUAAAAAGCUCGUAGUUGGAUCUCCUAGAUCCAUUUAGUGAUCGAGUCGCUCGUAGAAUUAACGUCCUUCGUCUGGUCGCCGGAACUAUGGUGUCGGGAUUCCCCGUUUCGUUGUCGAACUCUCGUUUCUCCGCUUCGCGGUGGAUGGAACGGUGUGUAAGGCGCGUUUCGGUGGGCCUCUCCUAUUUCGGAGGACGGUCGGUCGUUGUCUUCGAGUAUCGCUCUUUCGCUUGUGGUACAAUUAAAAAUUUGUCGGCUCGCUCGGAGUGCUCUUUACCGAGUGUUCCAGGGUGGCCGACACGUUCACUUUGAAAAAAUUAGAGUGCUUAAAGCGGGCGCAUACGCUGCCUGAAUGUCUGUGCAUGGAAUGAAGUAACAGGACCUCGAUUCUGUUGUUUUUGUCGGUUUUAUUGAACCGAGGUAAUGAUUAAAAGGGACAGACGGUGGCAUUAGUAUUGCGGCGCUAGAGGUGAAAUUCUUGGACCGCUGCAAGACUAACUACUGCGAAAGCAUUUGCCGAGAAUGUUUUCAUUAAUCAAGAACGAAAGUUAGAGGAUCGAAGGCGAUCAGAUACCGCCCUAGUUCUAACCCUAAACUAUGCUAACUAGCGAUCCGCCGGAGUCAUUCCCACGACCCGGCGGGAAGCCCCAGGGAAACCAAAGUUUUUGAGUUCCGGGGGAAGUAUGGUUGCAAAGCUGAAACUUAAAGGAAUUGACGGAAGGGCACCACCAGGAGUGGAGCCUGCGGCUUAAUUUGACUCAACACGGGAAACCUCACCAGGCCCGGACAUCAUAAGGAUUGACAGGUUGAGAGCUCUUUCUCGAUUUGAUGGGUGGUGGUGCAUGGCCGUUCUUAGUUGGUGGAGUGAUCUGUCUGGUUGAUUCCGAUAACGAACGAGACUCUACCCUACUAACUAGUCGGCGGAUCGUAACCCUGAGAUUGUUAGUUUGUAUAGGUCGGUAUGUCCGAGUCGUGAGCGCUAUUAGCUUUUGUUGCGUUAGUGUUAAGAGUACUUCAGACGUCUCCUUCGCGGGGGGCGCCUGGCCUUUUUCUCUAUCGUGUCGGGCUAUUGUUGCGAGCGGCGAAGCUUCCGUCUGAUUACUGCUACUGCUGGGGGCGUCCGUCGCAAUGUAUCUUCUUAGAGGGAUCAGCGGCGUUUAGCCGCACGAGAAAGAGCAAUAACAGGUCUGUGAUGCCCUUAGAUGUUCUGGGCCGCACGCGCGCUACAAUGUAGAGAUCAGCGUGCUUUCCCCUUCCGAAAGGAACGGGUAACCCGUUGAAACCCCUACCCGAUUGGGAUUGGGGAUUGCAAAUAUUUCCCAUAAACGAGGAAUUCCCAGUAAGCGCGAGUCAUUAACUCGCGCUGAUUACGUCCCUGCCCUUUGUACACACCGCCCGUCGCUACUACCGAUUGAAUGAUUCAGUGAGGGCAUCGGACUGGCGCCUUCGGUUUAGUAACAUAGACCUUAGGCUGACGGAAAGAUGUCCGAAC